rnacentral:sRNA from 1 species
GAGAAAACUCUAUGGAAGGAAAUGACUGCGUACUGGGACACUAAAGAAGCUCAGGAAAGAAGUCAAAUCUAUUCAAAUGCCCGUAUGUCUGACCGUAACGG